rnacentral:rRNA from 1 species
AAGUAGCAAUACUUAGUGGCAGACGGGUGAGUAACAUGUGGGUAUCUACCCUUUGGCCUGGAAUAACACGAGGAAACUUGUGCUAAUACCGGAUAAGUCUUUACGGAGAAAGCUUUAUGCACCAUUGGAUGAGCCCGCACUUGAUUAGUUUGUUGGUAGGGUAAUGGCCUACCAAGACUAUGAUCAAUAGCUGAUUUGAGAGGAUGAUCAGCCACAUUGGGACUGAGACACGGCCCAAACUCCUACGGGAGGCAGCAGUGGGGAAUCUUGCACAAUGGAGGAAACUCUGAUGCAGCGAUGCCGCGUGAGUGAAGAAGGCCUUUGGGUUGUAAAGCUCUUUCGUCGGGGAAGUAAAUGACUGUACCCGAAUAAGAAGGUCCGGCUAACUUCGUGCCAGCAGCCGCGGUAAUACGAAGGGACCUAGCGUAGUUCGGAAUUACUGGGCUUAAAGAGUUCGUAGGUGGUUGAAAAAGUUGGUGGUGAAAUCCCAGAGCUUAACUCUGGAACUGCCAUCAAAACUUUUCAGCUAGAGUAUGAUAGAGGAAAGCAGAAUUUCUAGUGUAGAGGUGAAAUUCGUAGAUAUUAGAAAGAAUACCAAUUGCGAAGGCAGCUUUCUGGAUCAUUACUGACACUGAGGAACGAAAGCAUGGGUAGCGAAGAGGAUUAGAUACCCUCGUAGUCCAUGCCGUAAACGAUGUGUGUUAGACGUUGGAAAUUUAUUUUCAGUGUCGCAGGGAAACCGAUAAACACACCGCCUGGGGAGUACGACCGCAAGGUUAAAACUCAAAU